CAGCAGCCGCGGUAAUACAGAGGUGGCGAGCGUUGUUCGGAUUUACUGGGCGUAAAGCGUGCGUAGGUGGUUUUGUAUGUCGGAUGUGAAAGCCUGCCGCUCAACGGCGGAAAUGCAUUCGAAACUGCAAAGCUUGCGUACAGGAGGGGAGAGCGGAAUUCUUGGUGUAGCGGUGAAAUGCGUUGAUAUCAAGAAGAACACCGGUGGCGAAGGCGGCUCUCUGGAAUGUUACUGACACUGAGGCACGAAAGCUAGGGGAACAAACAGGAUUAGAUACCCUGGUAGUCCUAGCUGUAAACGGUGUGCACUUGGUGUGGGGGGAAUUGACCCCCCCCGUGCCGGAGCUAACGCGUUAAGUGCACCGCCUGGGGAGUACGGCCGCAAGGUUAAAACUCAAAGAAAUUGACGGGGGCCCGCACAAGCGGAGGAACAUGUGGCUCAAUUCGAUGCAACGCGAAGAACCUUACCAGGGCUUGACAUGCAGCUGCACGGCCGGUGAAAGCCGGUUUCCUUCGAGGGUGCUGCACAGGUGCUGCAUGGCUGUCGUCAGUUCGUGCCGUGAGGUGUUGGGUUAAGUCCCGCAACGAACGCAACCCUUGUGUUUAGUUGCCACCGGCGGUGAUGAGCCGUCGAGCACUCUAAACAGACUGCCCGUACAAGCGGGAGGAAGGUGGGGAUGACGUCAAGUCAGUAUGGCCCUUACGCCCUGGGCUGCACACGUGGUACGAUGGCCGGUACAGAGGGAUGCAAUACCGCGAGGUGGAGCAAAUCCCCAAAGCCGGCCCCAGUUCGGAUUGGAGUCUGCAACUCGACUCCAUGAAGUUGGAUUCGCUAGUAACGGCGUAUCAGCUACGGCGCCGUGAAUACGUUCCCGGGCCUUGUACACACCGCCCGUCACAUCAUGAAAGCCGUCUGCACCCGAAGUCGCUGAGCCAACUUUUAAGAGAGGCAGGUGCCGAAGGUGUGGGUGGUGAUUGGGAUGAAGUCGUAACAAGGUAACCGUA
rnacentral:rRNA from 1 species